ensembl:lncRNA
GGGGGGUGGAAGUGGGGGGGGGGGGGGCGAAUGGGGGCGAAUGGUGGCGAAAUGGGUGGAAAAGGAUCCAAAAAAUGGUGGAAAAUGAUGGAAAAUGAUCCAAAUUGAUCCAAAAAUGGUGGGGAAAAUGGAGGAAAGUGAUGAAAAAUGGUGGAAAAUGAUGCAAAAUGAUCCAAAAUGGAGGAAAAUGAUCCAAAAUGAUCCAAAAAUGGUGGAAAAUAAUCCAAAAUGAUGCAAAUUGAUCCAAAAAUGGUGGCAAAAACGGAGGAAAAUGAUCAAAAAUGGAGGAAAAUGAUCCAAAAAAUGGUGGAAAAUGAUCAAAAAUGGAGGAAAAUGAUGGAAAAUGAUCCAAAUUGAUCCAAAAAUGGUGGCAAAAAUGGAGGAAAGUGAUGAAAAAUGGAGAAAAAUGAUCCAAAAUGAUUUAAAAAAUGGAGGAAAAUGAUCCAAAAAUGGAGGGAAAUGAUCAAAAAUGGAGGAAAAUGAUCCAAAUUGAUCCAAAAAUGGUGGCAAAAAUGGAGGAAAUGAUCUAAAAUGGAGGAAAAUGAUCCAAAAUGAUCCAAAUUGAUCCAAAAAUGGUGGGGAAAAUGGAGGAAAGUGAUGAAAAAUGGUGGAAAAUGAUCCAAAAUGAUGAAAAGUGGAGGAAAAAUUGGUAGAAAAUGAUCCAAAAUGAUCCAAAAUGGAGGAAAAUGAUCCAAAAAUGAUCGAAAAUGGUGGAAAAUGAUCCAAAUUGAUCAAAAAUGGGGGGAAAUGGUCCAAAAUGAUCCAAAUUGAUCCAAAAAUGGUGGGGAAAAUGGAGGAAAGUGAUGAAAAAUGGAGAAAAAUGAUCCAAAAUGAUGAAAAGUGGAGGAAAAAUUGGUGGAAAAUGAUCCAAAAUGAUCCAAAAUGGAGGAAAAUGAUCCAAAAAUGAUCGAAAAUGGUGGAAAAUGAUCCAAAUUGAUCAAAAAUGGGGGGAAAUGGUCCAAAAUGGUCCAAAUUGAUCCAAAAAUGGUGGGGAAAAUGGAGGAAAGUGAUGAAAAAUGGUGGAAAAUGAUCCAAAAUGAUGAAAAGUGGAGGAAAAAUUGGUGGAAAAUGAUCCAAAAUGAUCCAAAAUGGAGGGAAAUGAUCCAAAAAUGAUCGAAAAUGGUGGAAAAUGAUCCAAAUUGAUCAAAAAUGGGGGGAAAUGGUCCAAAAUGAUCCAAAUUGAUCCAAAAAUGGUGGCAAAAAUGGAGGAAAAUGAUCUAAAAUUGAGGAAAAUGAUCUAAAAUGGAGGAAAUGAUCCAAAAAUGGUGGGGAAAAUGGAGGAAAGUGAUGAAAAAUGGAGAAAAAUGAUCCAAAAUGAUUAAAAAAAUGGAGGAAAAUGAUCCAAAAAUGGUGGGAAAUGAUGAAAAAUGAUCCAAAUUAAUCAAAAAUUGGGGAAAAUGGUCCAAAAAUGGUGGCAAAAAUGGAGGAAAAUGAUCAAAAAUGGAGGAAAAUGAUCCAAAAUGAUCCAAAUUGAUCCAAAAAUGGUGGCAAAAAUGGAGGAAAAUGAUCUAAAAUGGAGGAAAAUGAUAAAAAAUGGAGGAAAAUUACCCAAAAUGAUCCAAAAAUGGAGGAAAAAAUGGAGGAAAAUGAUCAAAAUUGAUCAAAAAUGGGGGAAAAUGGUCCAAAAUGAUCACAAAAUGGAGGAAAAUGAUCAAAAAUGGAGGAAAAUGAUCCAAAAUGAUCCAAAAUGGAGGGAAAUUAUCCAAAAAUGGGGGAAAAUAAUGAAAAAUGAUCCAAAUUGAUGAAAAAUGGUGGAAAAUGAUCCAAAAUGAUCACAAAAUGGAGGAAAAUGAUCCAAAAUGAUCCAAAUUGAUCCAAAAAUGGUGGCAAAAACGGAGGAAAAUGAUCAAAAAUGGAGGAAAAUGAUCCAAAAAAUGGUGGAAAAUGAUCAAAAAUGGAGGAAAAUGAUGAAAAAUGAUCCAAAUUGAUCCAAAAAUGGUGGGGAAAAUGGAGGAAAGCGAUGAAAAAUGGAGGAAAAUGAUAAAAAAUGGAGGAAAAUUACCCAAAAUGAUCCAAAAAUGGAGGAAAAAAUGGAGGAAAAUGAUCAAAAUUGAUCAAAAAUGGGGGAAAAUGGUCCAAAAUGAUCACAAAAUGGAGGAAAAUUACCCCAAAUGAUCCAAAAAUGGUGAAAAAUGGUGGAAAAUGAUCAAAAAUGAUCCAAAAUGGAGGAAAAUGAUCCAAAAUGAUCACAAAAUGGAGGAAAAUUAUCAAAAAUGAUCAAAAAAUGGUGAAAAAUGGUGGAAAAUGAUCAAAAAUGAUCCAAAAUGGAGGAAAAUGGUCCAAAAUGAUCACAAAAUGGAGGAAAAUUACCCCAAAUGAUCCAAAAAUGGAGGAAAAAAUGGAGGAAAAUGAUCAAAAUUGAUCAAAAAUGGGGGAAAAUGGUCCAAAAUGAUCACAAAAUGGAGGAAAAUUACCCCAAAUGAUCCAAAAAUGGAGGAAAAAAUGGAGGAAAAUGAUCAAAAUUGAUCAAAAAUGGGGGAAAAUGGUCCAAAAUGAUCACAAAAUGGAGGAAAAUUACCCCAAAUGAUCCAAAAAUGGUGAAAAAUGGUGGAAAAUGAUCAAAAAUGAUCCAAAAUGGAGGAAAAUGAUCCAAAAUGAUCACAAAAUGGAGGAAAAUUAUCAAAAAUGAUCAAAAAAUGGUGAAAAAUGGAGGAAAAUGAUCAAAAAUGAUCAUAAAUGAUGGAAAAAUGGAAUAAAAAUUGACGGAAAAUGGUGAAAAAUGAGGAAAAAUGGUUGAAAAAAGGACCAAAAAAUGGGAAAAUGAGGGAAAAAUGGGGAAAAAUUUGAAUAAAAAUGAGGAAAAUUUGAAUGAAAAAUGGGGGAAAAAUGGGGAAAAUGGGAAAAAAAUGAGAAAAAAAUGAGAAAAAAUGGGGAAAAAAUGAAUAAAAAUGAGGAAAAUGAGGAAAAAAAUGAAUAAAAAUGAGGGAAAAUGAGGGAAAAAUGGGUCAAAAAAUGAGGAAAAAAAGAAUAAUAAAUGGUUCAAAAAUUAGGAAAAAUUGAAUAAAAAUGAGGAAAAAUUGAAUGAAAAUUGGGAAAAAAUCGGGAAAAAAUUGGGAAAAAUGAGUAAAAAAUGUGAAAAAAAUGAGAGAAAAUGAGGAAAAAAUGAGUAAAAAUGAGGGAAAGUGAGGAAAAAUGGGUGAAAAAAUGAGGAAAAAAUUGACUGAAAAAUGGUUCAAAAAUGGGGAAAAAUUGAAUAAAAAUGAGAAAAAAUUGAAUGAAAAAUGGGGAAAAAAUCGGGGAAAAUGGGGAAAAAUGAGAAAAAAAUGGGAAAAAAUGAAUAAAAAUGAGGAAAAUAUUGAAUAAAAAUGAGGGGAAAAUGGGUGAAAAAAUGAGGGAAAAAUUGAAUGAAAAAUGGUUCAAAAAUGGGGAAAAAUGAGAAAAAAAGGGAGAAAAUGAGGAAAAAAUGAAUAAAAAUGAGGAAAAUGAGGGAAAAAUGGGUGAAAAAUGAGGAAAAAUGAGGAAAAAUGAGAAAAAAAUGAAUAAAAAUAAGAGAAAAUGAGGAAAAAAAUGAAUAAAAAUGAGGAAAAUGAGGAAAAAAUGGGUGAAAAAAUGAGGAAAAAAAUGAAUGAAAAAUGGUUCAAAAAUGAGGAAAAAUUGAAUAAAAAUGAGAAAAAAUUGAAUGAAAAAUGGGGAAAAAAUCGGGAAAAAUGGGGAAAAAUGAGUAAAAAAUGAGGAAAAAAUUGAAUAAAAAUGAGGAAAAAUUGAAUGAAAAAUGGGGAAAAAAUGGGGAAAAUGGGGAAAAAUGAGAAAAAAUGAAUAAAAAUGAGGAAAAAAAUGAAUAAAAAUGAGGGAAAAUGAGGAAAAAAUGGGUGAAAAAAUGAGGAAAAAAAUGAAUGAAAAAUGGUUCAAAAAUGGGGUAAAAUUGAAUAAAAAUGAGAAAAAAUUGAAUGAAAAAUGGGGAAAAAAUCGGGAAAAAUGGGGAAAAAAUGGGGAAAAAUGAGAAAAAAAUGAGAAAAAAUGGGGAAAAAAUGAAUAAAAAUGAGGAAAAAAUGAGGAAAAAAUGGGUGAAAAAAUGAGAAAAAAUUGAAUGAAAAAUGAUUCAAAAAUGGGGAAAAAUUGAAUAAAAAUGAGAAAAAAUUGAAUGAAAAAUGGGGAAAAAAUGGGGGAAAAUGAAUAAAAAAGAGAAAAAAAUGAUUAAAAUGAGGAAAAUAUUGAAUAAAAAUGAGGGAAAAUGAGGGAAAAAUGGGUCAAAAAAUGAGGAAAAAAAAGAAUAAUAAAUGGUUCAAAAGUGGGGAAAAAUUGAAUAAAAAUGAGGAAAAAUUGAAUGAAAAAUGGGGAAAAAUGAGUAAAAAAUGAGAAAAAAAUGAAUAAAAAGGAGGAAAAAUAGAAUGAAAAAUGGGGAAAAAUGGGGAAAAAUGAGGAAAAUGAGGAAAAAAUGGGUGAAAAAAUGAGGAAAAAAAUGAAUGAAAAAUGGUUCAAAAAUGGGAAAAAAAUUGAAUAAAAAAUGACCAAAAAUGGGGAAAAAAUGAGGAAAAAAUUGAAUAAUUAAAAAAAAAAAAAAGGAAAUAAUUGGAAAAAUAAUUAUAAAAAAUAAUUGGAAAAAAAAUAAUUCAGAAAAAAAUAAUUUAAAAAGGAAAUAAUUGGAAAAACAUAUUAAAAAUAAUUGGAAAAAAUAAUUUAGAAAAAUAAUUGGAUACAAAAAUUGGGGGGAAAUCGGAAUAAUAAUUAGGAAAAAUAAUAUUAAAAAAUAAUAAUUAGGAAAAAAAGAUUGGAAAAAAUUCAGAAAAAA